rnacentral:rRNA from 1 species
GACGAACGCUGGCGGCGUGCUUAACACAUGCAAGUCGAACGGAAAGGCCCUGCUUUUGUGGGGUGCUCGAGUGGCGAACGGGUGAGUAACACGUGAGUAACCUGCACUUGACUUUGGGAUAACUUCAGGAAACUGGGGCUAAUACCGGAUAGGAGCUCCUGCUGCAUGGUGGGGGUUGGAAAGUUUCGGCGGUUGGGGAUGGACUCGCGGGUUAUGAGCUUGUUGGUGGGGUAGUGGCUUACCAAGGCUUUGACGGGUAGCCGGCCUGAGAGGGUGAACGGCCACCAUGGGACUGAGAGACGGCCCAGACGCCUACGGGAGGCAGCAGUGGAGAAUAUUGCACAAUGGGCGGAAGCCUGAUGCAGCAACGCCGCGUGCGGGAUGACGGCCUUCGGGUUGUAAACCGCUUUCGCCUGUGACGAAGCGUGAGUGACGGUAAUGGGUAAAGAAGCACCGGCUAACUACGUG